GUUAUAAACUUCAAUUGAAAUACUUUUGGAAGCAGUACAGAUUUUAAAACGAUAAAAAUAAAAACAGUUUUAUCACUAUCGGUGUUUUUGUCCACAAGCAAUCGGUGUGCUGCCACCACCAGCUGAGAUCGCCUUUGAAUUGUACAGAUACAAAUUUGUUUUUUCAAUUUAAUAGGAACUACGGACUAUUUGGAAAAGUAUAGAUUGAGCGUGCGAAUAUCCUGAAAUUUCCCACAACAUCAUAAGAUUCAUUCGGAACCAAGAGUGAAGUGCCAAUGCGCCUUGAUCAACAUCAACCCAUCACCAAGUUGUUCAGGUUUUCUGAGAACCAGUCAGUCGGCGUUGUCAAAUCAAUCCUGCACCCAUCGGAGGUUCACUUGAGUGGCAUCCAUGCAUAUGUAACUAACAAAUCCCUUUCCAGGGAGACGUAUACAUUCCGGAAUGCACUGAUAUGCCUAGAAGUCCUAGAAGAUAUUGCGUGAUAAAACCAAAGUAUUUCUGUAUAUGGACAUAUGUAGGUACUGUGAGGCUCGCAUCCAUACAACAAGUAAAGUAAUGAAAUUAUUGAACUCGCGGAAAACAGAAAGAAAAGGUUCAUGGGGGAAAACCUCUGCCUAAGACGAUGCACGGAAUGCAGAGGACAUAAAAGUGAGAACGUCUCUUACUCGUUCUCGAUUUAAACGAGGAUUUCUGGAUAGUCGUAAUGGAUUAUCUGGACAUAUUAAACCAGCUAAGCUUUGCUUCUACAAA